GAUGAACGCUGGCGGCGUGGAUAAGGCAUGCAAGUCAAGGGGGCUCUUCGGAGCAACCGGCAAACGGGGUAGUAACAGGUAGGAACGUACCUCAAUCUCGUGAAUAAUUCCGGGAAACCGGAACUAAUACACGAUAUCCUUUCGAGGGAAAGAUUUUUCGGAUUGAGAUCGGCCUGCUUCGUAUCAGCUUGUUGGUGAGGUAAAAGCUUACCAAGGCUAUGACGCGUAGGGGAGGUGAGAGCCUGACCCCCACCACUCGCACUGAGACACUGGCGAGACACCGACGGGUGGCUGCAGUCGAGAAUCUUCCGCAAUGCGCGAAAGCGUGACGGAGCGACGCCGCGUGGUUGACGAAGCACUUCGGUGUGUAAAAACCUUUUAUGAGGGAGGAAGUUUAUUGACGUUACCUCAUGAAUAAGGGGCUGCUAAACUCG
rnacentral:rRNA from 1 species